rnacentral:rRNA from 1 species
AACGAACGCUGGCGGCAUGCCUAACACAUGCAAGUCGAACGAGACCUUCGGGUCUAGUGGCGCACGGGUGCGUAACGCGUGGGAACCUGCCCUUAGGUUCGGAAUAACUCCCCGAAAGGGGUGCUAAUACCGGAUAAUGUCUUCGGACCAAAGAUUUAUCGCCUUUGGAUGGGCCCGCGUUGGAUUAGCUAGUUGGUAGGGUAAAAGCCUACCAAGGCGACGAUCCAUAGCUGGUCUGAGAGGAUGAUCAGCCACACUGGGACUGGGACACGGCCCAGACUCCUACAGGAGGCAGCAGUGGGGAAUAUUGGACAAUGGGCGAAAGCCUGAUCCAGCAAUGCCGCGUGAGUGAUGAAGGCCUUAGGGUUGUAAAGCUCCUUUACCCGGGAUGAUAAUGACAGUACCGGGAGAAUAAGCUCCGGCUAACUCCGUG